GCUGAAGAUCUGGGAGCUUAAGGCGGCUCCAACCAAUCACGGAUGGGCUUUGAGGGCGCGGACCCGCCCACUUCCGUCUUGCGCGGGGUCUCCCGGAGGAGGUGUGGUCCACGAUCUCCGCUAGCUCCAAGGCGGAAGGAUCUGUCGUCCCACCGCAGUUUCGGGAUUCCGUUGUCAAAUAGGAAGUGAAGCCACGGGCCGCCAUCCUUAAGCAAUUCCCGCUAUCUCAGACUCCUGAACCACAGACGGGAUGGUUUAUAAAGAAUAGAGUUCCAGAGGCAGGGAAAUUCAAGAACUGGGUGGUGCCAGCCUUCCUGCUGCAUCUUGAUGAGACAGAGUGUCACAUGGCCAGACAGGCAAGUGUGCCUGCUCAGAUCUCACUUCUUCCUAUAAAGGUGGUGUUUAUGGGAACGUUCAUGCUGGGCAGGUGCUUGUAUAAAGAAGCAAUCUGAGCAAGCCAUGAGGAGCAGCCUGUUAAGCAGUACCCCGUCCAUGGUGGCCUCUUCAGUUCCUGCUUCCAGGUUCCUGCUUUGAGUUUCCCUGCCUUGGCAUCCCUCAACAGACCAUGACCCAGGACGUGUAAGCCAAAUAAAUCCUUUCC